AAGUGCUGUUUGGAAAAAAAAUAAUUAUGUUUGUGGUUUGUGAAAACCACUACAGGAGAGUAUCUAAAAAAAAUCUGUUUUGGAGAAACAGAUUAAAUAUGAGCAACAGUAGGGGGCACUUGUAUGACACUGGAGCACAGACAAGCAUAAGCGUGUCAGGCUUGAUUUUCAAACUUUGACUUGCUCCUUGGAAAGUUAAUAUUUUUCUCUUAUGCAAUUUUCUUUAUGCAAAACUGCUAGUUGGAUUUUAAAUAUAAAAUCAUAUUUGGCAUGAUCAAGAAGUUGUAUUUACUUUUUGUUGAUAAAAAUGAAUUUUCUUCAAGUUUUGUUAAAUUUAUUUUUUUUCAGGUACUCUUUGCCAAGCAAGAAUUACUAGAUUAUUUCAUUCAAGUAUGUCAACAUAUAUAAAGCUUUAAAAAUUUGUUUGAAAAAAAAUCUAUUGGAACCCUCAAUUUCUGUAUCACAGAUUAGUGCCACUCUAGACUACGUACUACCUGUCAUUCAAGGAUCCUGUUGAUACUUUUUUUUCUGUACAAAAAUUACAAGUGAAAACAAAACAAAAAACAAAACAAAAUGAAUGUACUUCAUAUUUAUUUGAGUAGAGGUACCAACAAACACUUGAAAAAUGGCCAAGAGUGUUGGUUGAACUUUUCCAGUUCAUUUUGUAGCUGUUGUUAGGUAAACAUAGCCUUCUCUUACUUGAAUAAUGAUGCUGAAGGGUCCUAAAGGCCAAAGCUCCGGAAUUUCUGAUGAGAGAUAGAGAUAACAGUAUCAUUUUCAAAUUGGCCCCCGCACAAACAUACAUAAUAGUAGGUAUUCCAUUUUCCAUACCUGCCACAUAUCUUGCUCUUACUUCAGAUUCACAGAUAAAUUCUUACUAAUUUUAACCACCUGUUUUAUCAUUUACUCCUGCUCCAAUUACCAAAGAUGCUUAUAGAGGGAAAAAUAGAUUCUCCCCUCCCCCACUCCUCAGCCUUGUUUGCUCUUUGCCUACAUUUUAAAUGUUACCUCCCAAUCUUUAAAUUUCAGCUAAAAUGAACUAGUGCCUUUCCUAAAUAUGCCUCGUGUUUUCCU